GUAAGUUCGUGCGAGGGGCGGGGGGAAGAGGAAGGGGGCUAGCGUUGUUCGGGAUCCCUGGGCGGAAAGCGCACGCAGGCGGAGCGUUAAGUCAGGGGUGAAAUCCCGAGGCUCAACCUCGGAACUGCCUUUGAGACUGGCGAUCUUUGAGUCCGGGAGAGGUGAGUGGAACUCCGAGUGUAGAGGUGAAAUUCGUAGAUAUUCGGAAGAACACCAGUGGCGAAGGCGGCUCACUGGCCCGGUACUGACGCUCAGGUGCGAAAGCGUGGGGAGCAAACAGGAUUAGAUACCCGGGUAGUC
rnacentral:rRNA from 1 species